CAUAGAGAGAUUUAGGAGAGAUUCUCGAUAAAGAGAGAUAGAGAGAAAACGAUUGAGAGAUGUUUCGUGUGUGACAUUUGUGAGUGUCCGGCUUCGCAAUGCAACGUCCAUAAACCCCGUUAAGCCUUGUUUAAGGAUCUUACACACUCCCGAUGAGUAUGCAACAUUGUUUUAUCGGUUUGGUUCGUCACUUACCACAGUUUUAGGUUAAGGAGAUCUAGAUGUACGUACUUUUCGAUUUAUGAUCUCUCAUUAGAAUAGCGAGUUGUGAAGUAAUUACCUAACGUAUGCCCUAGAACCCACAGGCUAAUUGAGUCGACCGGUUUGACUUGUUGACUUUAGUUGACUUUGACUUGACCAGAAAUUGACGGUUGUCACAAUAUUGGACUUAAAUUGAAAGGAUAUUGGACUACUGAGUGUUAAAUGGUAAUUUAUGGACUUUAUUUGAAACGAAUAAGAGGAUGAGGGACUAAAAUCGUUAAUGUGGUCAAAAAAAUUUAGAUUGGAUGGAAGCUUAUAACCCAUGACGUUAUUAGUCUCAAACCCUAAACCUAAACAUUGGCAUCAGCCACCUUUUUUCCAGCCGUUAUCACCGCAGUUGAACUCGCCGCCAUCACCUUGCCUCGCAUGGACGGUCAAGCACCACCGUUGUCGCUUCUUGAUGAAAGCUGUUAGAAAAGUUUAGUUAUAUUCUUGGUGUUUUAACUUGUAUCCUCCCCCCCCCCCCUCCAUAAAACCUUAAGAAAACAUGAAAAUGUAGGGGUAUGAACUCACCUUGAGUGAUUUCAGUAGAUGGAUGAUGGAGAAAAGAAGUAUUCAACUCAAGAACACUUGGGAGAUGCUUGAAGAUUUGAGGAGCUAACAACAAAUAUGACGAUAUUUGUGUAAGAAAUCUAUGAUUUGGAUGAAGGAUAGUAGAAUAUCUAAGUGUAGGAGGAAGAUACUUACCAAAUGUGGAGGAAAAAUCUAAGAUCAGCCCUUGAAUAUUGAAUUUCUAGAGAGAGGAAGUGAGAGAGAAAAUAUGUUUGAUCUUUGGUGGAAGAAUGAGAAAAUGAGAGAUGUGUGAGGAGAGAGGAGGGUUUUCUUACCCUUGACCAAGUGUGUGGCUGAAAAAUGGUGGGAAAAGUACCAUGAAAUGACUAGGUAUGGGCUGAUGGUGAAUNUCCCCCCCCCCCCCCAUAAAACCUUAAGAAACAUGAAAAUGUAGGGGUAUGAACUCACCUUGAGUGAUUUCAGUAGAUGGAUGAUGGAGAAAAGAAGUAUUCAACUCAAGAACACUUGGGAGAUGCUUGAAGAUUUGAGGAGCUAACAACAAAUAUGACGAUAUUUGUGUAAGAAAUCUAUGAUUUGGAUGAAGGAUAGUCGAAUAUCUAAGUGUAGAAGGAAGAUACUUACCAAAUGUGGAGGAAAAAUCUAAGAUCAGCCCUUGAAUAUUGAAUUUCUAGAGAGAGGAAGUGAGAGAGAAAAUAUGUUUGAUCUUUGGUGGAAGAAUGAGAAAAUGAGAGAUGUGUGAGGAGAGAGGAGGGUUUUGUUACCCUUGACCAAGUGUGUGGCUGAAAAAUGGUGGGAAAAGUACCAUGAAAUGACUAGGUAUGGGCUGAUGGUGAAUAGUGACAUGGAGUGGGUAUGAGAGUAGUUGCUUGUGUCAUAGAAUAAAGAAAAGUCAACACUCCACCUCUUGUACUUCACCCACUCUUCUUGGAUAAGGUUUAUCCCCAAAAACGUGGAUAAUUAAUACAUAUGGAGCCUUAUAUGUUAAAAUAAAGUUUUGGGUGAAAAUCCUGCGUUGAAACAAUUAAAAACAGAGCUAAAAUGAAAUCGUAGUAAAAAACCGGGAAGAAAUGCUCUUCCUGCGAGGCUUCUCGUAAGCAGGCCGAAGGUGGCUAGGUUCGGUCCUCAGAAGGUUGGGACCGAAGGCUCCGGUGAGUCAGGAAGCGUAAUGGGGCGAAAGUGGUUAAUAGGCGAAAUGGAGCGAAAUAGACCGAAAUGGACCGAAGGUUCGGUCCGAAGGGGAGGGUUCGGUCCCUUAUGCGAGGCUCGGUCCGAAGGGAGGGUUCGCUUCUGACAAGUUCGGUUCCUAAGAGGGGUUUCGGGUCCUCAAGAGGGUUCGGGUCCUUAAGAGGGUUCGGGUCCUUAAGAGGGGUUUCGGGUCCUUAAGCCCUUUUUAUCCGUUCUUACCCCGUUAUAAGCGGUUUUUGACCCGGUUAAGGGUCGGGAUGGCCCGAAAGACUAUAAAAAGUUUAAGGAACUUUUGAGAGAGAUUUCACAUUCUUGGAGAGAUUUCUCAUGCAAAGAGAGAUUUGGGAGAGAUUUCAUAUUCUUAGAGAGAUUUCUCAUACAAAGAGAGAUUUGGGAGAGAUUUCACAUACUUAGAGAGAUUUAGGAGAGAUUUCACAUUCUUGGAGAGAUUUCUCAUACAAAGAGAGAUUUGGGAGAGAUUUCACAUACUUAGAGAGAUUUGGGAGAUAUUUCAUAUUCUUGGAGAGAUUUCUCAUACAAAGAGAGAUUUGGGAGAGAUUUCACAUACUUAGAGAGAUUUGGGAGAGAUUUCACAUUCUUGGAGAGAUUUCUCAUACAAAGAGGAGAUUUGGGAGAGAUUUCUCAUACAUAGAGAGAUUUAGGAGAGAUUCUCGAUAAAGAGAGAUAGAGAGAAAACGAUUGAGAGAUGUUUCGUGUGUGACAUUUGUGAGUGUCCGGCUUCGCAAUGCAACGUCCAUAAACCCCGUUAAGCCUUGUUUAAGGAUCUUACACACUCCCGAUGAGUAUGCAACAUUGUUUUAUCGGUUUGGUUCGUCACUUACCACAGUUUUAGGUUAAGGAGAUCUAGAUGUACGUACUUUUCGAUUUAUGAUCUCUCAUUAGAAUAGCGAGUUGUGAAGUAAUUACCUAACGUAUGCCCUAGAACCCACAGGCUAAUUGAGUCGACCGGUUUGACUUGUUGACUUUAGUUGACUUUGACUUGACCAGAAAUUGACGGUUGUCACAAUAUUGGACUUAAAUUGAAAGGAUAUUGGACUACUGAGUGUUAAAUGGUAAUUUAUGGACUUUAUUUGAAACGAAUAAGAGGAUGAGGGACUAAAAUCGUUAAUGUGGUCAAAAAAAUUUAGAUUGGAUGGAAGCUUAUAACCCAUGACGUUAUUAGUCUCAAACCCUAAACCUAAACAUUGGCAUCAACCACCUUUUUUCCAGCCGUUAUCACCGCAGUUGAACUCGCCGCCAUCACCUUGCCUCGCAUGGACGGUCAAGCACCACCGUUGUCGCUUCUUGUGACAACCAUCAAAANCACCUUGCCUCGCAUGGACGGUCAAGCACCACCG
rnacentral:lncRNA from 1 species